rnacentral:rRNA from 1 species
AUGAACGCUGGCGGCGUGCCUAAUACAUGCAAGUCGCGCGAACAGACGAGGAGCUUGCUCCUCUGACGUUAGCGGCGGACGGGUGAGUAACACGUGGAUAACCUACCUAUAAGACUGGGAUAACUUCGGGAAACCGGAGCUAAUACCGGAUAAUAUAUUGAACCGCAUGGUUCAAUAGUGAAAGACGGUUUUGCUGUCACUUAUAGAUGGAUCCGCGCCGCAUUAGCUAGUUGGUAAGGUAACGGCUUACCAAGGCAACGAUGCGUAGCCGACCUGAGAGGGUGAUCGGCCACACUGGAACUGAGACACGGUCCAGACUCCUACGGGAGGCAGCAGUAGGGAAUCUUCCGCAAUGGGCGAAAGCUUGACGGAGCAACGCCGCGUGAGUGAUGAAGGUCUUCAGAUCGUAAAACUCUGUUAUUAGGGAAGAACAAAUGUGUAAGUAACUAUGCACGUCUUGACGGUACCUAAUCAGAAAGCCACGGCUAACUACGUG